GAUGAAGAACGUAGCGAAAUGCGAUACGUAAUGUGAAUUGCAGAAUUCAGUGAAUCAUCGAAUCUUUGAACGCAUAUUGCGCUCUCUGGUAUUCCGGAGAGCAUGCUUGUUUGAGUAUCAGUAAACACCUCAACUUCCAUAUCUUUUUUGAAAUGGGAGUUGGACUUGAGUGAUCCCAACGCUUUUCCUCACCGAAAAGUGGCGGGUUACUUGAAAUGCAGGUGCAGCUGGACUUUUCUCUGAGCUAUAAGCAUAUCUAUUUAGUCUGCCUAAAAAACAGUUUAUUACCUUUGCUGCAGCUAACAUAAAGGAGAUUAGUUCUUGUGCUGACUGAUGCAGGAUUCACAAAGACAGGCUUCGGCCGACUUUGUAAACUCGAUCUCAAAUCAAGUAAGACUACCCGCUGAACUUAAGCAUAUCAAUAAGCGGAGGA
rnacentral:misc_RNA from 1 species